UAGGAUGAGAAUCUUUUGAUUAGCUCUAGAUCAAGAGCUACUCUUGGUAGCGAUGAGCGACAUUUGCAUGUAUUACCUGAACA
rnacentral:snoRNA from 1 species